rnacentral:rRNA from 1 species
AGCGAACGCUGGCGGCAGGCCUAACACAUGCAAGUCGAACGAACUCUUCGGAGUUAGUGGCGGACGGGUGAGUAACACGUGGGAACGUGCCUUUAGGUUCGGAAUAACUCAGGGAAACUUGUGCUAAUACCGACUGUGCCCUUCGGGGGAAAGAUUUAUCGCCUUUAGAGCGGCCCGCGUCUGAUUAGCUAGUUGGUGAGGUAAAGGCUCACCAAGGCGACGAUCAGUAGCUGGUCUGAGAGGAUGAUCAGCCACAUUGGGACUGAGACACGGCCCAAACUCCGACGGGAGGCAGCAGUGGGGAAUCUUGCGCAAUGGGCGAAAGCCUGACGCAGCCAUGCCGCGUGAAUGAUGAAGGUCUUAGGAUUGUAAAAUUCUUUCACCGGGGACGAUAAUGACGGUACCCGGAGAAGAAGCCCCGGCUAACUUCGU